GGAGAGGUGCCGGAGUCUGGCUGAUCGGGCCUCCCUGCUAAGGAGGUGAGGGGUUCACGCCCCUCCGUGGGUUCAAAUCCCACCCUCUCCGCCA
rnacentral:tRNA from 1 species